rnacentral:ncRNA from 2 species
GGGCCGGUACAGUGGCCGGGUCGUCAUCACGCCCGUACGGGGGAAAGCCGGUGCGAAUCCGGCGCUGACCCGCAGCCGUGUACCGGUCCUCCUGGGCCGGUGAGCCGGAUUGCCCCGCACCCGCCGUGACC